ACUGCGUAUUCUUCACCGGAACACAAUGGAAAAGCAGAUGGAGGUCGAAAUUGAAUUGCUGCUGACUGUUGUCCCUUGUUAUGGCCUGUGGAGAUAUGACAAUUGAGGAAGAACUUAGAGGAAUGCCAAGUAGCAGAGCAUGAAGCAGUGGGUGUGACCCACUGCCUUGGACAUUUUAUGGCGGAUAGCAUUUGGCAAGAAAAAACCUGCAUCCUCUAUAGUGGUCUUACAAAUAGAUCUCAACAUUAACCAUGCCCUCACCCAUAUUUGAUUUGCCCUGUAAUAUAUCCAUUUGCCAAAAUCCACUCUUCUAAUUGUCAGCUAACUCACUAGUCCCCUCACAAAAUACCUAAAAUAACUAAAUAAAUCAUGCUGGAAGACA